GGGCGGUGUGCUGAAAGCUGGAGCUCUGGUUAUGGUUCAGGAACACAGAGUUCCCCGGACAGGUUUGAAGAUCUGUAUUUUGACCAAGAGAGAACAUUUUCGUGAUUGCACGCAAAGUUAGGAAAGGUGCUAAAGGUGGCUCCGGGAGGAAUACAGCAUUAUUCUAUUUAAAGUAGUUCUUACUAUAACCACUCCCAUUUUAGUCAGUGGGGUGAUAUUUUUCCCAGUGUCACAGACUGAAAUCCGUCACUCUUUGUUACCGUUCAUCAGGCAUUUCAUGUGAGUCAGCCAGCCACCAUUAGGGGUUUAAUAGAAAUCAUCUCACUGGAUCCUUGAAUAACCCUGACGUGUUCCCCAUCUACAUCACCGUCCCUCCAUCAACUUUAUCAUCAUGUUUUAUCUUUUAUAAAAUGCUUUUUCGUUUACUGUUCUUUGCCAUCCCCAGUCCCAUCAUCGAAAUCCAAGGGCUUAAUGCCUGAGAGAAACGGAAAGCAUCUUCAGCAUCAUCGCCUCCAAUCUCAUUUCCACCUAAAAUGAGACCUAGAGAGAAAAUUAUUUUCCCAAGUUCACCCAUGUACCAAGUACAUAGGCUUUGAGUUCAAAUCCUUUAGUGCAUAAUCUUUGACAAAUCUCACCUUUUAGUGCAUUGGUUUUCUCAUUCUGUAAAAUUGGGUUAUUAUGAUAGCUAGUCUCCAAAGGUGCUUCCUAAUGAGCCACCCCACCCUACAAUGAAUCUGAGCUGGCUUAUAUAACCAACAAGCAGUGCUGUCACAAGAAGUCUUGAAGCUUUCACCUGGGUUGCCUGGAAUGCACUAUUAGGAUCCCUAGGCCACCCUGUUAGCAAGUCUGACUACUCUAAGAUCAUCGUGUCACAAGAAAGCCCAAGCUAACAUUACUGCCACGAGAGUGCAGGGAGGGGGGAGGGGGCGAGUGAGAGAGACAGGGAGAGCAGAUGCGCGCCGGACAAUCUCUAGCUAUGCCAGCCAUCCUAACCCAGAACCAGACUUGACAGUGAAGAGGCCAUCUUAGUCAUCCUGACAGUGGAGCUUUUAGAAGACUCCAGCCCCAGCUGCCAUCUGACUAAAACUACACAAGGGACUCAAAGCACUGUCCUGUAUAACGAGGACACAGCAGUGAACAAAGCAAGGCUUUCCACCUGAAGCUUACAGUCAACAACUGAGUCAGCACAUAUAUACAACGUCAUGUGGUGUAAUCUACACUCAGUGUAGGACUCAAACUCAUGACUCUGAGAUGAAGAGCAUGAAGACAACCAGGUGCCCUAAUUUAUCCUUAAAUCUUUGUGCUGCUUUUACAUUGUCCUGAAAUAAAGAACCACUGAUCCUA